rnacentral:rRNA from 1 species
AACUAACGCUGGCGGCGUGCCUAACACAUGCAAGUCGUACGAGAAAGUCGGCUUCGGCUGAUGAGUAAAGUGGCGCACGGGUGAGUAACGCGUGGAUAAUCUGCCUUUUAGUUGGGAAUAACGUACCGAAAGGUGCGCUAAUACCGGAUAAUACUGCAUAACUACUGUUGUGUAGUCAAAGAAGGCCUCUGUUUACAAGCUUUUGCUGAAAGAUGAGUCCGCGUACCAUUAGCUAGUUGGUAGGGUAAUGGCCUACCAAGGCUACGAUGGUUAGCUGGUCUGAGAGGAUGAUCAGCCACACUGGAACUGAGACACGGUCCAGACUCCUACGGGAGGCAGCAGUGAGGAAUAUUGCGCAAUGGGGGCAACCCUGACGCAGCAACGCCGCGUGAGUGAGGAAGGUUUUCGGACCGUAAAGCUCUGUCGAGCGGGAAGAAAUGUAUCGUGGCUAAUAUCCAUGAUAUUUGACGGUACCGCUAAAGGAAGCACCGG